GGAGAGGCGUCACCGCUGGGGACUGAUUGGGCACAGCUACGACCACUCGCGCGCGGGAAGCACCGGACCCAAUUAACCCUUUCAGGAAAUAUGGGAUGGUUAGGAUUUGGUCCACUACUACAGGCACUACGAGAAGUCUUCAGACCUGCCAUGUCUACACAAUCUGGGUAUCGUGUCCACGAGGAGGCUCAAAAGAUAAGAAACUUAACGUUUGCAGAAACAAAGUUUAGAAGAGAAAGGGCAGUGUUAUUUUUUUUACAUAUACAACCAAUAUUUAGCACCUUUCUGUCCUACGAAACUAAAGCUUCAAUUCUUUACUUGCAGUGGUCUCCAACCUGUGGUCCUCCAGAUGUUGCAAAACUACAACUCCCAGCAUGCCCGGACAGCCACCAUUUUAUCUACAUUAAAUAUCACAGCAGCGCAUCCAGAUAGAGGUUAAAGUACAGUGGCGAUGUUUCGUCCAUCCCGCAUGGCCAUUGUUAAAGGGUCACUCUCAUUACAACACAUUUUUGC